AGAGAUGUGGCCGAGUGGUGAAGGUGCUGAGCUGUUAGGCAGAGGGUCGAGGGUUCGAAUCCCGUCAUGUGUA
rnacentral:tRNA from 1 species